rnacentral:guide_RNA from 1 species
UAGAUACAACUCGGUAACUCAAUGUAGAUAGUUGUGAUUGGUUUAGAG